rnacentral:tRNA from 1 species
GAGGGUAUAGCACAAGUGGUAGAGCUCAUGCUUAGCAUGCAUGAGGUCCUGGGUUCAAUCCCCAGUUUUAUCA